rnacentral:rRNA from 1 species
CAGGGAUACGGGUGCCAGGACGACACCAUCUUCUGCGGCGUCUUGGACGGGCACGACCAGUCGGGCCACUACGCCGCCAAGGCCGUCCGGGAGUCGCUACCGCAGUCGCUUCUGUGCCGCUGGCAGGAGGCCGUCGCGCUGGCGUCGCUCAUCGACGGCGAGAAGAGGCUCAGCAACUGCCAUUUUUACCUCUUGAGGCGGUCCUACCUGGCCGCCGCCGCCGCCGCCGUGGACGAGGAGCUCCGCCGGAGCCGGCGCCUCGACGCCGUCAACAGCGGCUGCACGGCUCUGUCCAUCGUGAAGCAGGGCGACCUGAUGGUGGUCGCGAACGUCGGCGACUCGUGGGCCGUCCGUGUGACCACGUCGGACGACGGGGACGUCACAGCUGUCCAGCUCACCAUCGACUUCAAGCCCGGCUUACCCCAGGAGAAGGCACGCAUCAUGCUGUGCGAGGGCCGCGUGCACUGCCUCGACGACGAGCCUGGCGUGCACCGGGUGUGGGUGCCCCACUGGGAGGCGCCGGGGCUGGCCAUGUCGCACGCGUUCGGCAACUACUGCGUCAAGGACUACGGCGUCAUCUCGGCGCCGGAGGUGACGCAGAGUAGGAUCACCGCCCGGGACCAGUUUGUCAUCCUGGCCACCGACGGGGUAAGCGACAGAUUCUCGCACAGUCACAAAGUAUUUUUAUGA